CCUGAAGCACCUUAUGUACUUGAAGCGUUUUUGUGUAGGAAAGCGUUAUACCCUUGGUUUUCUGGCUUAUACAUGCAGGGAAAAUCAUAUGAAAACCUUAUUUAUAACUAUAUUUUGGGUAGAGGGAGUUAAAAACCUAUGUGAUAUAUAAAAAAAAUACUUAAUCACCGUGCGCCUCGGGUACUAAAAGUCCACCGCUUUUGUGUUUUGCGCCUCGGUUUUAGACCUCGUCGCUUUGGUGCGCCUCGCGCUUUAUAAAACCAAGUGUACAUCCGAUUCCCCAGGGAACAUACAUAGGGAGUGAAGAGUUAUUUUAAAUACCAAAAUUACGAUUCACUCCCUAUAUAUUCCCUAUAAUUUUUAUGAGGCGUUGUGAGUGAAAGAAAGAGAAAAAAGUAAUAAAUAAAAAAAGUGUUAACUUUCGUUUUGCUCUCUGUGGUUUGGUCAUUUUAACGGUUUUGCUCCAAUACUCAAAUUUUUUCUUUAGUUUUAGGUGUAGUUUGUUUUUUAAGAGGUAAAACGUCUGCGGUUUUCGGACCACAUCUGCAGACAUCUGUAGAAGAAGAGGUGGACCAAAUCUUUGCAGUCUGUAAGACGAAUGCUGUUUGUUUUUUUAACGUAUGUAGACUUCUAAAAUGAAAUAGUAGUGGUGGACGGUGGUGGUGGAUGGUGGACGGUGGUGAUGGAUGGUGGUAGUAGACGGUGGUGUGGGAAUGAAAGUCUCAAAAGGUGGUAAAUACUUUGUCCCACAUUGGUGUGGGAACAAAAUGAGUGGGUGUUUAUAAGGUAAAGCAUUUACUACUCCAUUGUAGCUUUAUGACAUGUUUUACCACAAGUCCUACCCGCGCGCGCAGGGGGGUGCAAAAAAAUGGGUUUCUGAGCUGGAAUUUGGUUGAACUCGUGCGUGCCCGCGCAUCCUGUGGAUACGAAUGCAGCUCCGAAACCCCAGGUCCCACGUGAGGCAGUUUUUACACCAAAGUACAUGCCUCUAGAAUUAAGCAAAAGGAUCAACCUCUAGAAUCAAUAUAUUUGUGGUUUGAUGAUUCUUAUGCUUAAUAAAUAAACUUUGACAAGGCCACAUGAUGAAGAUCUAUGUUACACCAAAGUACAUGAUUGAGUAAACUAUGUUAUGCCUCUAGAACUUUGAUGAUAAUAAAUGAAGAAUUUAUCACUAAAUGUUUGUCAAUAUGUAUUACAAUUAUUUAUUAAAAGCAACUAUAUUUAUACGUGAAAAUCAUAAUUGAAAAUAUUUAUAUCCCUGAAAGAAGAACAUCAGAUAUUAGUAAUGGCAAAAGCCGAAAGAAAAAUAAGAAUCACAAAAGGCGCAAAGAUAUAAAAAUUAAUAAUGAGGGAAAGGGGAUAGCCCAAGUUAAGAUAAAUUAAAGAAAACCGUUUCCGUUGGAUGUUUAGUAUCUAAAAGAUUUUCUUGUUGUUGGUAGAAAUGAUUAUUCGAAGCUUUGGAAUUUACAAUACAUGCAUCACAUAGGAAUAAAAGUGUUGAGUUGUGGAGUCUGAUGUUUUUUCGAAAGGACCUAAUCGUUAACAUGAUCAUGAAUUCCGAGAUUGCAACACCUCGGUUGGGGACCAACUCCGAACUGGUCGAGCAUGGAUCAAGAGGAGCCGAUUACAAGGUCCUCUAGGGGCAAUGCCCCUAUGUAAAUUUAUGCCUACCUACUACUACCAUUACUAAUUUACUAUUACUGUUAUUUACUUAAGAGAUUAAACACAGAAUGAUUAGGUGCUAUCUAAGAGUACCGAACUCGUCUCUGAGAGUGUAAUUGAUGUUGUGGUUGUUUUAUCAAAGGAGAGUAUCUUGCUUGUUCAAUCCUUAGAUUUGUAGAUAAUGGUUUAAAUUCUUUGAUUUAUGUUUAUGUAAUACGUAUUGUAACAUUUUAUAAUAAUUAUGUGAUUUGUAUAAACAAUCUUGUAUGCUUCUCAUAAAAUAAGGUGAGCAUCUUUAUUUAAUUUAGUGUUCUGUCUUACCUCAUACUUAGUACUAGUUAUUUUAAUUUAAUGCCUUACGAGUUGUAAGAAUUUAAGCAUUUAUAGAGAAUGUAAAAUUUGUAUUCUAUUAUAAUUUUUAAUCCUUUUUUUCAUAUUUCUAUUUGCUCUUUGUUUUCUUCUCUUGCCAGCAAGCUAGAACUAACGAAAACAUGUCGGAAGAGAACAUUACUUUUAAUGAGUUGUCAACAUGAGAAAAAUAUUUGUCUUCGACAUUUUAGUCAAUAAACCUAGGCCAUGACUUUCCGUAAAGUAUACAGUAUGAAGAAAGUUAGCAAAACCAGUUUAUUCUAUCAUUCCAAUCACUACAAAUUUGAUCUUCCGUUUCGAAUAAUCGAUGACUAUUCGUGUCAAAGAUGUUGAACAAAUAGUUAGUUCGGGCAGUCUCAUAUACCUAACUGAUCGAGUUAUAUACACUCACUCCUGUUCUCAUAAUAUCUAUUCAUAUAAUAAUUCAUGAGCAUGCAGUUUUAAGAUGCUUUGAAGUGUUCAAAGACCCUAAACAAUGCACUCUAUUAACAAUUAACAACUAGUAAUAUGCCAAAUACAAAUAACAGUUUAUAUCUAACACUU
rnacentral:lncRNA from 1 species